rnacentral:snRNA from 1 species
AAUAACCUCUAUAAAUUAAUAAA